rnacentral:misc_RNA from 1 species
AGAUAUUUAACUUCCUUCCUCUCCCCCCGUUCCGACCUCGAAACCCUAAAUCGCAACCUCCGUCGCUACCGCGAUCUCGGUCAACCGCCGCCCGGAGCUGAGUCAUUAUGUCGAGGAAGAUGCUCAUCGACGGCGUCCCGCCGGAGGAGGUGAAGUUUGACUACGACCUCUUCGUCAUUGGGGCUGGCAGCGGCGGCGUCCGUGCCUCCAGGACUUCUGCUGGAUUCGGAGCCAAGGUUGCGAUAUGUGAGCUUCCGUUUGAUCCGAUUAGUUCAGAAGUAGUCGGAGGAGUGGGCGGAACGUGUGUCAUACGUGGGUGUGUUCCAAAAAAGAUUUUAGUGUAUGGAGCUUCAUUUCGAGGUGAAUUUGAGGAUGCAAGAAAUUUUGGGUGGGAACUAGAUGAGAAAAUUGGUUUCAACUGGAAGAAGCUUUUGCACAAUAAGACUCAGGAAAUAACUAGAUUAAAUGGGAUAUACAAGAGGCUAUUGUCCAAUGCUGGCGUGACAAUGCUGGAAGGAGAGGGCAGGGUAAUUGAUGCUCAUGUGGUGGAGCUGACACAUCCAGAUGGUUCAAAGCAGCUUUAUUCAUCAAAGCAUAUAUUGAUUGCAACUGGUAGUCGGGCUCAGCGCGUGCAAAUUCCAGGGCAGGAGCUCGCUAUCACCUCUGAUGAAGCCUUGAGCUUGGAGGAAUUGCCAAAGCGUGCUGUUGUUCUUGGUGGAGGUUAUAUUGCUGUUGAAUUUGCCUCAAUUUGGCGAGGUUUGGGUGCUGAAGUGGACUUGUUUUACAGAAAAGAACUUCCAUUGAGGGGGUUUGAUGAUGA